CGGAGGAAGAACUAACAAGGAUUCCCUCAGUAACGGCGAGUGAACAGGGAAAAGCCCAGCACCGAAGCCUGUGGCCAAUUGGUCACUAGGCAAUGUGGUGUUCAGGUUGUUCCGCGGAGGUGCUGCUCCAUUCCAAGUCCAGCAAUGAGUACGGUAAUGCUGACAUGGCCCAAAGAGGGUGAAAGGCCCGUUGGGGUGGAGAGGCAGAAAUGACAGCACCUUCCUGGAUAAACCUUGGAGUCGGGUUGUUUGUGAAUGCAGCCCAAAGUGGGUGGUAAACUCCAUCCAAGGCUAAAUACUUGCACGAGUCCGAUAGCGAACAAGUACCGUGAGGGAAAGUUGAAAAGUACUUUGAAGAGAGAGUAAACAGUGCGUGAAACCGCUCAAAGGUAAACGGGUGGAGUUGAACUGUGAGCUCUGUGGAUUUAGCUGGUGAGUGUGGUUUGAGCUUGGUCAAAUUGGUUGAUGCUCGGGGUCUGCGUAGCAGCAGGUCUUCACCUUCGGGUGGAGAUGCGCGAUGCACUUAUCAAGUGUUGCGCGCUUCGAGUUUAUUCGGGCCAGCUUGCCAGUGCACUUUCGCAGAGCGGUCACCACGACCGGCAUCGCUGUCUUGCUGUUGCGGUUAAACCGGCCUUGCAUUGUCCUUGUGGCUUUGUCUGGUCGGGAUGGCAGGUAGCCCGUUGGCUUGCUUGUGGCUUGCUGCAGGCGUUCGGUCCUCGGGUGUAAUCAGCUGACCACAUCGGUUAUGUGCAGUAUGUCGGAGACGGCGGCUUGUGGUGUGUGCGUGCGUGCCAGUCGGUCGGCGUGUCCGGGUUCGGUUGUUAUCCGCCUGUGUUCACAGGCCUAAUGAUAUCUCGGAUUCGUUCGGUCGGCGGUUGCGUGCGUGUCACUGUUUCCAGGGCCAAUAGUCUGUGGUGUUGCGGUAGACUAUCCACCUGACCCGUCUUGAAACACGGACCAAGGAGAGUAACAUGUGCGCGAGUCAUUGGGCGUAACGAAACCCAAAGGCGAAGUGAAAGUGAAGGUCUGGCUUGUCCGGACUGAGGUGAGAUCCUGUCGUGCCUCAUGCGCGGUAUCACCAAGCAUCGAGCGGCAGGCGCAUCACCGGCCCGUCCCAUGGUGUGAUGACCCUAUUCAGAGUUUGUCAUCGGGGCGGAGCAUGAGCGUACAUGUUGAGACCCGAAAGAUGGUGAACUAUGCUUGCGCAGGUUGAAGCCAGAGGAAACUCUGGUGGAGGACCGCAGCGAUUCUGACGUGCAAAUCGAUCGUCAGACGUGAGUAUAGGGGCGAAAGACUAAUCGAACCAUC
rnacentral:rRNA from 1 species